UAUCAAGGUCAUACCAUAUAUGAUUCAUUCGAAAUUGUAUAUGUGGAAGACCUUCCCCAACAACCAGCUGCUAGUUUGGACUGUGGAGUGUAUGUUGCGUCAUACGCGGAGUUUUUGAGUGAGAGGAAAGACAUUCCAGCAGAUUUAAACCCAGAAGAAAUUCGCCUUAGAUACGGUGCAUUGUUGUGGAAUUAAGGCAAUCAAAAGAUACAAGUCGGAGCUGUCAGUGAUAGUGAAGCGCCUUUAAAAUUCGUCAGGAUUCGCACAGAAAACAACAGUUCUGAAAGGAUUACAAUCCAUUAGUUUUAUACCUUAGUUGUAGCAUUAUUUUGGUUUUUAGUUGACACUUUAAAUAUUAGUUGUAGAUUCUUAACAAUUUUACCAUAACUUUUGUUUUAAUUAACUCGUAAUAUCAUUGUCCUUGUUUUGAACUAUCAUUUUAGUGUUAAAUAUAUGACACUAUCUUUUUGUGUUA